CUACGGGAUGCUGCAGCUGAGGAUCUUUUACAAUGCACGCAAGUGUGAUAAAGCGAGCCAGAGUGUUGUUCUUAGAACAACUUUUGUUUGCUGUAAAAAGGCAGACGAAUAAGGACUGGGUAAGACCGGUGCCAGCCGCCGCGGUAAUACCGGCGGUCCAAGUUGCAUCCAUUUUUAUUAGGUCUAAAACAUCCGUAGCUUGUUUUGUAAGUUUCUUGUGAAAUCUUAUGUCUCAAACAUGAGGCUUGCAAGAAAUACUGCAUUGCUAGAGACCGGAAGACGUAAGGAGUAUGAUUGAGGUAGCGGUAAAAUGCGUUAAUCUUAAUCAGACUAACAAUGGCGAAGGCACCUUACGAGUACGGAUCUGACAGUGAGGGAUGAAGGCUAGGGGCGCAAAACGGAUUAGAUACCCCUGUAGUC
rnacentral:rRNA from 1 species